rnacentral:rRNA from 1 species
GUCUCAGGCCGAUCAGCCUGAAGGCGCCCGAUCUACGUCUGGUCUCGGAAAGCUAAGCAGGGUCGGGCCUGGUUAGGAUCUUGGAUGGGAGACCACCUGGGAAUCCCGGGUGCUCGAGGCU